rnacentral:snRNA from 1 species
GACUUUGUGAAAUGACUU